rnacentral:rRNA from 1 species
AGCGAACGCUGGCGGCAGGCUUAACACAUGCAAGUCGAACGCCCGGGCAACCGGGAGUGGCAGACGGGUGAGUAACACGUGGGAACGUACCCUUUGGUUCGGAAUAACUCAGGGAAACUUGAGCUAAUACCGGAUAAGCCCUUUUGGGGAAAGAUUUAUCGCCGAAGGAUCGGCCCGCGUCCGAUUAGCUAGUUGGUGAGGUAACGGCUCACCAAGGCGACGAUCGGUAGCUGGUCUGAGAGGAUGAUCAGCCACACUGGGACUGAUACACGGCCAAGACUCCUCCGGGAGGCAGCAGUGGGGAAUAUUGGACAAUGGGGGCAACCCUGAUCCAGCCAUGCCGCGUGAGUGAUGAAGGCCCUAGGGUUGUAAACCUCUUUCGGCGGGGACGAUAAUGACGGUACCCGCAGAAGAAGCCCCGGCUAACUUCGUGCCAGCCGCCGCCGUAA